AGAGUUUGAUCCUGGCUCAGGAUGAACGCUGGCGGCGUGCCUAAUACAUGCAAGUCGAGCGAACUGAUUAGAAGCUUGCUUCUAUGACGUUAGCGGCGGACGGGUGAGUAACACGUGGGCAACCUGCCUGUAAGACUGGGAUAACUUCGGGAAACCGAAGCUAAUACCGGAUAGGAUCUUCUCCUUCAUGGGAGAUGAUUGAAAGAUGGUUUCGGCUAUCACUUACAGAUGGGCCCGCGGUGCAUUAGCUAGUUGGUGAGGUAACGGCUCACCAAGGCAACGAUGCAUAGCCGACCUGAGAGGGUGAUCGGCCACACUGGGACUGAGACACGGCCCAGACUCCUACGGGAGGCAGCAGUAGGGAAUCUUCCGCAAUGGACGAAAGUCUGACGGAGCAACGCCGCGUGAGUGAUGAAGGCUUUCGGGUCGUAAAACUCUGUUGUUAGGGAAGAACAAGUACGAGAGUAACUGCUCGUACCUUGACGGUACCUAACCAGAAAGCCACGGCUAACUACGUGCCAGCAGCCGCGGUAAU
rnacentral:rRNA from 1 species